UGGGGAAUCUUGCGCAAUGCGCGAAAGCGUGACGCAGCAACGCCGCGUGGGGGAAGACGGCCUUCGGGUUGUAAACCCCUUUCAGGAGGGACGAAGGUUCGCCGGUGAAUAGCCGUGCGGAUUGACGGUACCUCCAGAAGAAGCUCCGGCUAACUACGUGCCAGCAGCCGCGGUAAUACGUAGGGGGCAAGCGUUGUCCGGAAUCAUUGGGCGUAAAGCGCGCGUAGGCGGCCCUGUAAGUCCGUUGUGAAAGUCAAAGGCUCAACCUUUGAAUGCCGAUGGAUACUGCAGGGCUAGAGUCCGGAAGAGGCGAGUGGAAUUCCUGGUGUAGCGGUGGAAUGCGCAGAUAUCAGGGAGGAACACCGAAUAGCGAAGGCAGCUCGCUGGGACGGUACUGACGCUAAGGCGCGAAAGCGUGGGGAGCGAACAGGAUUAGAUACCCUGGUAGUCCACGCCGUAAACGAUGGGCACGUAGGUGUGGGAGGUGUCGACUCCUCCCGUGCCGUCG
rnacentral:rRNA from 1 species